AGAGUUUGAUCCUGGCUCAGGAUGAACGCUGGCGGCGUGCCUAAUACAUGCAAGUCGAGCGAACGGACGAGAAGCUUGCUUCUCUGAUGUUAGCGGCGGACGGGUGAGUAACACGUGGAUAACCUACCUAUAAGACUGGGAUAACUUCGGGAAACCGGAGCUAAUACCGGAUAAUAUUUUGAACCGCAUGGUUCAAAAGUGAAAGACGGUCUUGCUGUCACUUAUAGAUGGAUCCGCGCUGCAUUAGCUAGUUGGUAAGGUAACGGCUUACCAAGGCAACGAUGCAUAGCCGACCUGAGAGGGUGAUCGGCCACACUGGAACUGAGACACGGUCCAGACUCCUACGGGAGACAGCAGUAGGGAAUCUUCCGCAAUGGGCGGAAGCCUGACGGAGCAACGCCGCGUGAGUGAUGAAGGUCUUCGGAUCGUAAAACUCUGUUAUUAGGGAAGAACAUAUGUGUAAGUAACUGUGCACAUCUUGACGGUACCUAAUCAGAAAGCCACGGCUAACUACGUGCCAGCAGCCGCGGUAAUACGUAGGUGGCAAGCGUUAUCCGGAAUUAUUGGGCGUAAAGCGCGCGUAGGCGGUUUUUUAAGUCUGAUGUGAAAGCCCACGGCUCAACCGUGGAGGGUCAUUGGAAACUGGAAAACUUGAGUGCAGAAGAGGAAAGUGGAAUUCCAUGUGUAGCGGUGAAAUGCGCAGAGAUAUGGAGGAACACCAGUGGCGAAGGCGACUUUCUGGUCUGUAACUGACGCUGAUGUGCGAAAGCGUGGGGAUCAAACAGGAUUAGAUACCCUGGUAGUCCACGCCGUAAACGAUGAGUGCUAAGUGUUAGGGGGUUUCCGCCCCUUAGUGCUGCAGCUAACGCAUUAAGCACUCCGCCGUGGGAGUACGACCGCAAGGUUGAAACUCAAAGGAAUUGACGGGACCCGCACAAGCGGUGGAGCAUGUGGUUUAAUUCGAAGCAACGCGAAGAACCUUACCAAAUCUUGACAUCCUUUGACAACUCUAGAGAUAGAGCCUUCCCCUUCGGGGGACAAAGUGACAGGUGGUGCAUGGUUGUCGUCAGCUCGUGUCGUGAGAUGUUGGGUUAAGUCCCGCAACGAGCGCAACCCUUAAGCUUAGUUGCCAUCAUUAAGGUUGGGCACUCUAAGUUGACUGCCGGUGAACAAACCGGAGGAAGGGUGGGGAUGACGUCAAAUCAUCAUGCCCCUUAUGAUUUGGGCUACACACGUGCUACAAUGGACAAUACAAAGGGCAGCGAAACCGCGAGGUCAAGCAAAUCCCAUAAAGUUGUUCUCAGUUCGGAUUGUAGUCUGCAACUCGACU
rnacentral:rRNA from 1 species